UAUGUAUUAAUCUUCAGAGAAGUUAAGUAACUUGUUCAAGGUCACGGUCAAGUCUGUGGUUUCAGAGUCCUGAGUUUUAAGUGAUAAGAGCUUCCCACCUAAAGUUGUGUGGUGCUCCAGAUCCCUGGAGAACUUUAGUAUUCAGAUACCAGAACCAGCCCUGACCCACUAAAUCAGGAUCACCAGCAUUGAGCUCAGGCAUGUAGAGGUUUAAAAAAAAAAAAAAAAAAGCUAAAAACUAUUUGGUGAUUUUGAUGGAUAUCCCUGGUUAAGAGGCUGCCUACAAAAACUUUUUAUUAUAUAGAAAAAAUUAUAAUAAUUGUUAUUAUACACAAGAACCCAAGUUGGUCACUCAAGUGUAGCAAGAGGAGAUGGAAAAAUAUUAAUCUUUGUAUUUUUCUUACUUACCCUCCCUUCCCAACCUUCCUUGAAUUAGUCAGAACUAUUUAUUUUGCCUGAAGGAGAACUUGGAUUAUAACAGUAGGGACAUAGAGGAAAAGACGCCAGUCAUGUUCACUUUUUGGUUUCUCAGCAAGGCUCUAGAGAAUCCCAAGGAAAGGUCUGGAGGGGAGCAGCACAUUGAUUGAAAAGGGUUGGAAAGAGAACACAGGGAUUGCUGUCCUUCUUGGCCUAUUUACACAAUUUGCAGGUGAGGCGGGGAGGGGAGAGAGAGACACACACAUAUUGGAAUACCUCCUGCUAACGUGGAGCCGAGUGGUCUAGAACACUGAGAAAAAUGGUGCUAAGUGCGUUCAGCAUGUGGAGUUAGAAGAAGUUAGCUCUGCCUGGUGACAUUGGAGAAGAGACCUGAAGAAGUUAGCGUUGGAGUGGAGUGUUAAUGAUGGGUAUGAUUCUCUGUAGAUGGGUGUGUGGGAACAAGCCAACUCAAGAGGAGAUUACUAUCUAUCUAGUACCACACUGAAAGACGUGGUAACAUUGUUACAGAGACUGCUGGUGAGCUCUGCCCACAUUAACUUAGCAACCUCAGAGCUUGGCAAUAAUUGGCCGGCCAUGUUCACCAGGAAUGUCCCUAACUAGGAUACCUUCAGUGGCUCCUCGUUUUCCUCUGACACUCGUUUCUUCACUCCUCUUGCGCACUCUCCCUGAUUUGACAUUCUCAAGUUCCUGUGGUCUCAGACCUCCUCUCUGCUUCUAGUCAUCCAUCCCUAAACCGAAAAUAUGUGCUUCUGUUAAAGUGUUCAGUGCAUCCUCACUGUGGGAGUAUAGAGAUGAUGUUCCAAUCUUUAUGGUCCAGACUUUCAGUGACUCAUUAGUAACUGAUGGGGGAAAAUUUCAGACCUGCUUGAACCAUCAAGAAAUAGUUUGUAAAAGUUAAAAGCGACCUUAAAGAUAGUCUGUUGUUCUGUUUUUAUAAACUAUCUCUCUCAAGACCCAAAGAGCGUAGAUAAUUUGUCUAAAUCUGGAAGUUUUUAAGGGUUAGGAGUGAAACUUGAACCUGGAUCUGAGUCAAGCCGCCUUCCUCUGCCACCUGCCAAGGGAAUGCGGACAGUGUUCACCAACCAUACCCAGGUAAUUACAUUCCUACAAGAUUUACGCAAGCUAAAAAAUCUUUGCUCUUGCUGUCCCAAAGACCUCCAAUUCACAGAUUUCCCAUGAAUCCCUAUUUGCCAGCCAUAGGUCUUGUGGGAAUGCUCUGGAACAUGAUUAUUGUGCUUAUGAUUCAGCCUUCGCAGUCUUCAUGUAUUGGUCAGUGAUAGACAAUGGAAAUGUUUUUCUGGACAAACUCCACCACUUCUGGACAAGGGUUUCCACCAAGGCACAUUUUCAGAACUCCAUACUCAGGUAUCAGUGUAAUUCCCAAAGAAUGGGCUCUUCAGUCUUGAAUAAGAUCACAUACGGGGCCUCAACGUUAUAAUCCACAUUGGAAUUCAUACACUGGAAUGAGAAUCAAGAAAUUCUAUUCCCAUGAACAGGUUGGAGACUUUCUUCAGUUGGACGACUUUGUUGCUUGCUUGUUCUCGGUUAUGAGAUGUCACUGUAAGAUGAACUGAAAAGAAUGGCACUGAAACUGAAAUUUUCUCAGAGAUGAGUGAGCAUUCUCACCUAUUCAACAUGUUACACUUAGAAGAGGACGGAUCUAGUGCAGAGGUUGGCAAACUGGCACACAGACCUAGUGGACCUUCUGCCUGUUUUUGUAAAUUACGUUUUAUUUUAGCCACGCCCUUGACUUGCAUGUUGUCUGGGGCUGUUUCCAGAUCAUAACAGCAGAGUUACGUUGCUGCUACACAGACUGUAGGGAUCACAAUGCUUAAAAUAUUUAGCCCUUUAUAGAGAGAGCUUGCCAAUCCCCGAUCUAGUGUACCGCUAUCUUUUUUGUGAAACUGUUUCUUGAACUUUCUAUUAAAGGUGGAGACACGUAAACAGGAUUUAAAAAAAAAAAUGCUGUACUCCAAGAUUAGGUCAUCUUGUGAGAUUCUUUCCCUGAGAGUCAAUAUGAAGAUAUGUAAAGACCUCAAGAACAACAGUGCAGUGUUGUUUGUGUAUGUGCUGAUGGGAUGGACAGGCAGUUAUCUCUUCUUGGUCUGUUGUGACACCGACUGUGUCAUCCCAAGGAAAUGUUCUGGGGUUCAGUUAUGUUAAAAAUGGAAGACAUGAGGUCUACUGCCUGCUAAUCACAUUGCUUGGAAAAGAGGGAAAAUUUUUUUAAGAGUAUUUCUCCUAAUCAUCUUUCCUUUUAAGUGCAUUGCUUGAGAGACAUUAAAAUAGCUAAAGCAGCCUGGAAAAUCUAGUUUAACAA